CAAAGGAAAAAGUUAUUUGGCAUGCAAAAACGCGUCGAUUGAGCCUACUUUCAUCGAAAUCGAAGUUUCUUUACGAUACCAAUUUAUUGGCAAACUCAGAGUAUUAGCGAUACAGCUGCGAAUUAUAUAUCUACAAGAAUCAGUCAGGAAACUAUCCAAGUGGGGCAGAAACUACAAACUAAAAUUGUCACAAAUGUAACAUGUAAUCAUGAGAAGUAUGUUGUGCAAUCCGUGAAAUGUACAAAUAAAAGUACAUUUGCUUUCAGUAUACGUAUAAUUGCAUUUUUUAGGAGAAAUAAUUGAGUAGGAUCCGAUUGACCACGGUACGAUUGGAUACAGAUUAUAAUGAUUGGUUCGAUCUGGUAAUUCACUAGAUAAUUCUUUUCAUCGAUUGGUGGUGUCCAAUCGUACUGUAGUCAAUCGGAACGCUCCCGAAAUAAUUUCGCGCUAUAUAACUCUAACCGAAUCAGAGUUCGACAAUGUUGCUGCAGAAUGGUUACGCUUUGCCAAGCAGAGGAAAGAGAGAGAUGACAAGAUAAAUACUACAAGAGAGAGGAAUGACUGAGACAAAUAUUACAAAUAAUAAGUAUAUUAGUUAAGGGUCAUCUACAAUGGCUGUAAGAAUAUCGCUGUAAGGCUGUAAAACGCGAUUGUAACUACGUAUUUCCGGUGUAAUAGA